GGAGUUUGGUCCGUGUCUCAGUACCAAUGUGGGGGACCUUCCUCUCAGAACCCCUACUGAUCGAUGGCUCGGUGGGCCGUUACCCCGCCGACUACCUAAUCAGACGCAUCCCCAUCCCGCAGCGAUAAAUCUUUGCUUCAUCUUAGAUGCCCGCAACGAAGAACAUAGGGUAUUAAUCCGACUUUCGCCGGGCUAUGCCCUACUGCGGGGAAGGUUGGAUACGCGUUACUCACCCGUGCGCCGGUCGCCAUCGGCCUUAGCAAGCUAAGACCAUGCUGCCCCUCCGACUUGCAUGUGUUAAGCCUGUAGCUAGCGUUCAUC
rnacentral:rRNA from 1 species